AUUCUACUCCCUCCGUUGCACAAUACUUCAUGCCUUCUAUUUGUCAAAAUAUAUAUGUAUCUAGACAUGUCUUAGUAUAUAGGUACAUCCAUUUUUGGACAAAUGGAAGUCAAGUAUUUUGGAACGGAGGGAGUACACA
rfam:Triticum aestivum genome assembly, contig: Triticum_aestivum_CS42_TGACv1_scaffold_485220_6AS